CAUAAUUAUAAGUUUUAAAAUAAGUUUUAUUAUAAAAUCGCACACUUCUCACACUGGACAAAUAAGUCUUAUACCUCUUCGUGACACUAAUUUCAAUGUACGUAAUACUUUUGCCGUUUUUGCGUGUAAGUAGGUAGGUAGGUACAUACAUU